rnacentral:rRNA from 1 species
UACGGGGGGGGCAAGCGUUGUUCGGAAUUACUGGGCGUAAAGGGCGCGUAGGCGGCCUGCUAAGUCGGAUGUGAAAUCCCUCGGCUUAACCGAGGAACUGCAUCCGAUACUGAAAGGCUUGAAUCCGGGAGAGGGAUGUGGAAUUCCAGGUGUAGCGGUGAAAUGCGUAGAUAUCUGGAGGAACACCGGUGGCGAAGGCGGGUCUCUGGGCCGAUACUGACGCUGAGGAGCGAAAGCGUGGGGAGCGAACAGG